GAGGAGAUCAAUUAUAACCUGAUGAGAAAGAAGCAGGAGAUGUUUGAUCGCUCAGUCUCCUAUUCAGAUGACUCAGUGAUGAAGCUGCAGUAUUACACUGGAGACAGCGAGGGGGAAAACGAUCGUGGAUCAGAACAAGAGGGAGAUUACCCGGGGGGGUCUCGGUUGGAUUACGA